UACAGAGGUCCCAAGCGUUGUUCGGAUUCAUUGGGCGUAAAGGGUGCGUAGGCGGCGCGGUAAGUCGGGUGUGAAAUCUCGGAGCUUAACUCCGAAACUGCAUUCGAUACUGCCGUGCUUGAGGACUGGAGAGGAGACUGGAAUUUACGGUGUAGCGGUGAAAUGCGUAGAGAUCCGGAGGAACACCGACGGCGUAGGCAGCGCCCUGGACGACACCUGACGCUGAGGCACGAAAGCUGGGGGAGCGAGCAGG
rnacentral:rRNA from 1 species